UUAGUUGGGUUUUGUUGCUUUUUGGGCUGUGGGGUUUUUGGUUUGGAUUUUUUUGUGCUCAGUUUGAACAACAGAACAUCUGUUCCCGAGCCCAGCAGCUGGACCAGAAUGGAAUGACGUUAGCAUCACUUAUCCUCCGGGAGGAGGAGGCUGACGGCAGAGCGGUGCAGAUCUGCUGAGCACUGAAUAGCAAAUGAGAGCAGCUCAGCUGGGUGAGUCCUGUUCCCAGAGAGUCCUCCCAGCACCCUGCCUGCCCGAGCCCUGCUGCUGGGGGAGCCCACUGCUGCCUACUGCCCCUCCAGCUACCAACCAUCCGCCAUGGGUGUGCAGGGUCCUGCUUUUCUCAGCCUGCUUGGUAAUCCUAAGUAACAGGAGGCAGACGCCCGAAACAUCUCUUGAGGAGCUGGACCUUAAUCCCUGCCUACAGCACCGGUACUCUGGCUCACUGGAAGCUGCCUCCUCCGAGCAUCGUCCUCUCCUAGCCAGGGCAGAAUGCACCGUGAGGAGCAGAGGGAGGUGGGGAACAGGCUCCUUGUGCUCACCAGGACUGAAGUGGGAAGUUUUCCACCCUGGCUGCCCCAGGAGGAGUAAAUUCUGCUGGCACAGCGAGGCAGGGAGCCGUGGGAAGGUGCCUGCUGUCUCACCCUGGAGUGGUUCUUCUCUGGCAUUUCAUUCAUUUUUCAUGGCUGCUGCUGUUGCCUGCAAAUAAA